rnacentral:rRNA from 1 species
GACGAACGCUGGCGGCGUGCUUAACACAUGCGAGUCGAACGGAAAGGCCCUGCUUUUGUGGGGUGCUCGAGUGGCGAACGGGUGAGUAACACGUGAGUAACCUGCCCUUGACUUUGGGAUAACUUCAGGAAACUGGGGCUAAUACCGGAUAGGAGCUCCUGCUGCAUGGGGGGGGUUGGAAAGUUUCGGCGGUUGGGGAUGGACUCGCGGCUUAUCAGCUGGUUGGUGGGGUAGUGGCAUACGAAGGCUUUGACGGGUAGCCGGCCUGGGAGGGUGACCGGCCACCUUGGUCCUGCGAUACGGCCCAGACUCCUACGGGCGGCAGCAGGGGGGAAUAUUGCACAAUGGGCCGAAGCCUGAUGCAGCAACGCCGCGUGCGGGAUGCCGGCUUUUGGGGUGUAAACCGCUUUCGCCGGUGACGAAGAGUGAGUGACGGUAAUGGGUAAAGAAGCACCGGCUAACUACGUG